rnacentral:rRNA from 1 species
UACGUAGGCAGCGAGCGUUGUUCGGAGUUACUGGGCGUAAAGGGCGUGUAGGCGGUUCUUUAAGUUUGGUGUGAAAUCUCCCGGCUCAACCGGGAGGGUGCGCCGAAUACUGAGGGACUUGGAGUGCGGGAGAGGAAAGUGGAAUUCCUGGUGUAGCGGUGAAAUGCGUAGAUAUCAGGAGGAACACCGGUGGCGUAGACGGCUUUCUGGACCGUAACUGACGCUGAGACACGAAAGCGUGGGUAGCAAACAGG